UAUAGUGGACAUUGUUGAAAGCGCGGUUGAAAGUAACAGAAUUUUUCGUAAAUAACAAAAAAUAUCUUCUAAUUUUAAUGUAAAUUAAAAAUAUAUUUCAAUAAUUGAGUUCAGUGUGAUAUAAAUAUUCAAGACUUGAACUAAUUUUUGUUGAGUCAAAAUAUAGAAUGAAGUCAUCUCAGAAAAAAAGGAAUAUUUAAUUCUUCUUAACAAAGGUGUCCAAUUCGUGAAAGAUGGGUGUUUGUUGCGGAGCUGCUCCUGGAGGAGAUCUUGCAUAUAGCUGAGUCGCAGUUCAAUUCAAUUGGUCCAGUUGAGGAAAGAUUGACCCACUUAAAAAAGGAAUAUAUUGUCAUCGUAUUUUUUACACAACGCAAAAUUUCCCUUUAUAUAGGUAAUUGGUCCAAAAAAAGAAAGAUUUGUCCUUUUAUAAAAAAGAUAUGCUGUCAUCUUAUCUCUAACGCUACGCAGAAAUUUCAUCACAUCGGUAACUCUUUUUUAAUAUAGUUAAUUUUAUAUGCAAAUUUAAAAAUUAUAAUUGAAUUCACACAUAUGCUAAUUACAAAUUUUUCGGAUUUUUUUAAACACCAUUUUAAAAUAAAAUAUGACUU